rnacentral:rRNA from 1 species
UACGUAGGGUGCGAGCGUUAAUCGGAAUUACUGGGCGUAAAGCGUGCGCAGGCGGUUUGCUAAGACAGGUGUGAAAUCCCCGGGCUUAACCUGGGAACUGCGCUUGUGACUGGCAGGCUAGAGUACGGUAGAGGGGGGUGGAAUUCCUGGUGUAGCAGUGAAAUGCGUAGAUAUCAGGAGGAACACCGAUGGCGAAGGCAGCCCCCUGGGCCUGUACUGACGCUCAUGCACGAAAGCGUGGGGAGCAAACAGGAUUAGAUACCCCCGUAGU